GACGAACGCUGGCGGCGUGCUUAACACAUGCAAGUCGAACGAGACGAUUGAAAGCUUGCUUUUGAAAGUCGAGUGGCAAACGGGUGAGUAACGCGUAGGCAACCUGCCUCUAGGAUGGGGACAACAGUCCGAAAGGACUGCUAAUACCGAAUGUUGUAGAUAUUCCGCAUGGAGUACCUAUUAAAGAUGGCCUCUACUUGUAAGCUAUCACCUAGAGAUGGGCCUGCGUCUGAUUAGCUGGUUGGUGGGGCAACGGCCUACCAAGGCGACGAUCAGUAGCCGGUCUGAGAGGAUGAACGGCCACAUUGGGACUGAGAUACGGCCCAGACUCCUACGGGAGGCAGCAGUGGGGAAUAUUGGGCAAUGGGGGAAACCCUGACCCAGCAACGCCGCGUGAAGGAAGAAGG
rnacentral:rRNA from 1 species